AUUGAACGCUGGCGGCAUGCCUUACACAUGCAAGUCGAACGGUAACGCGGGGCAACCUGGCGACGAGUGGCGAACGGGUGAGUAAUGUAUCGGAACGUGCCCAGUUGUGGGGGAUAACUGCUCGAAAGAGCAGCUAAUACCGCAUACGACCUGAGGGUGAAAGCGGGGGAUCGCAAGACCUCGCGCAAUUGGAGCGGCCGAUAUCAGAUUAGGUAGUUGGUGGGGUAAAGGCUCACCAAGCCAACGAUCUGUAGCUGGUCUGAGAGGACGACCAGCCACACUGGGACUGAGACACGGCCCAGACUCCUACGGGAGGCAGCAGUGGGGAAUUUUGGACAAUGGACGCAAGUCGGAUCCAGCCAUGCCGCGUGCGGGAAGAAGGCCUUCGGGUUGUAAACCGCUUUUGUCAGGGAAGAAACGCUCUGGGUUAAUACCUCGGGGUAAUGACGGUACCUGAAGAAUAAGCACCGGCUAACUACGUGCCAGCCGCCGCGGUAAAAC
rnacentral:rRNA from 1 species